rnacentral:rRNA from 1 species
GCGUAAGCGCGCGCAGGUGGUUUCUUAAGUCUGAUGUGAAAGCCCCCGGCUCAACCGGGGAGGGUCAUUGGAAACUGGGAGACUUGAGUGCAGAAGAGGAAAGUGGAAUUCCAUGUGUAGCGGUGAAAUGCGUAGAGAUGUGGAGGAACACCAGUGGCGAAGGCGACUCUCUGGUCUGUAACUGACACUGAGGAGCGAAAGCGUGGGGAGCGAACAGGAUUAGAUACCCUGGUAGUCCACGCCGUAAACGAUGAGUGCUAAGUGUUAGAGGGUUUCCGCCCUUUAGUGCUGAAGUUAACGCAUUAAGCACUCCGCCUGGGGAGUACGGCCGCAAGGCUGAAACUCAAAGGAAUUGACGGGGGCCCGCACAAGCGGUGGAGCAUGUGGUUUAAUUCGAAGCAACGCGAAGAACCUUACCAGGUCUUGACAUCCUCUGACAACCCUAGAGAUAGGGCUUCUCCUUCGGGAACAGAGUGACAGGUGGUGCAUGGUUGUCGUCAGCUCGUGUCGUGAGAUGUUGGGUUAAGUCCCGCAACGAGCGCAACCCUUGAUCUUAGUUGCCAUCAUUUAGUUGGGCACUCUAAGGUGACUGCCGGUGACAAACCGGAGGAAGGUGGGGAUGACGUCAAAUCAUCAUGCCCCUUAUGACCUGGGCUACACACGUGCUACAAUGGACGGUACAAAGAGCUGCAAGACCGC